CGGAUCUACAUAUGUAGCUGCAGCGAACACGUUUUUUUAAACAAAAUUUUUACACAAGUAAAUUCUUUGAUGUUCAUCGUUUUUGUAAAUUAAUUAAAAUAUUCGAUCAACGACCGCCGCGCCGACGGAAAGAUGGAACUAGUGUCUGAAUUCGAAGAUAUGGGAUUUGACCAUCGAAGAUUCAGACACUUCUGUAAUUGGCAACUGGCUUCCGUUAGUCGAAAACGUCUUCAUGGUAAAUUUGAAAAUACCUCAAACACCAGCAAACCACCAAAUCUGCUGUCGACGCACAGACCCUUAUCUGUCAUGUCCAAUGUUCAUUGGGCAGUCGUGCUGUGAUUUCUGGUCUUUGGAAAGCUACGACGCAAUGGUCAUCCUGAAUUUUGCAAUAUAGAACGGCCGGUCCUUAUAGAUUGCCGCUUGAUAGUGGUCAACGAAAAGACGAACACUUACGAACGACAUACGCUAUCAGGUAGUACGAGAGAGCGUUUGCCAGGGUGAACGUGGCGGUUAGAUGGUACAAGCGAAUCAUCCAAUCAAAAACAGAACGACGACAGUGAACUGACUGACAUGGUAGUCGAUGACAUUUGCGUUACGCCAAAAAAUAAAACGGAGAAACCUAACGACUUCCAUACCUUUAUCUAAGAUAGUAGUACAUAAUAUUCUAUAAUAAGUGUUACUUUGCCGAUCGUGUAUGCCGCCCUGUCGAUUCAGCAUACAAUUUCCGACAAUGACCAACAUCAACUUGUCGCCAGAUUUAUUUCCUGAUGAGCCGGAUGUUUUAUUCGAGUUUAUCCCCCGGACAUUUUGGAGUGACGAUGGGUACAACGGGACGUCGAACCAGCCAUACUUCUAGCGUUUGCUGAUGUGGCUGAAUUGGACUGGUGACCUUUUCGAACCGUAUCGCUCUGUACGGGACGAAGGGUUGAAUCUCCGUAAUGUGGCGCCUCUAAAAAUUCUUUGAUACAAAGUCAGGCGCAAUCAAACGGUGUACAAACAACAAACAACAAUGAUCUCCAACCAAAAACCAUUCGUUGAAGAAAGCAUCAGGAAAGAAGAACCAAGCUCCACGCAUCAUCGAUAACAACAACGGCAUCACCGCACCGUAAUCACUCUAAUACUCUUUCUCUCCCUUUCAUGGUUUAGACGGGUCCAGCAGCAGCAGCAGCAGCUUGCUUUGGGAUGAUGACGGCAACCCCGUCCCCAUCCCACCAUUGCCUCCAGUGUAAUUUAUGUGGGGAAGGAAAUCAAGCUAAGAUACAUGAUGUACAUAUAUGUAAAAAUGAUAUGUUUUAAUAAUGUGAAUACUAUAAAAGAAAUUGUAAAAUUUUAAAGAAACGUGGUUGUAAUAAUAAGAAAAAUCAUUGUUUUACGCAAUGAGAAAUUGUAUAAUGUUCAAUAUUGUUGAAACAAAAAAAUUGUAUUUUUUAUUAUGAAAGGGAAAAUUAAAUUGAAAAAUGGAUGUUUAAAUUUUAACAAAAAUAAAUUCUGUUAUAUGAUAUAUUAUGAAACCACUGCUCGUACAUCUAAGUUCAUCUCGUUCAUCUGAAAAAUAAAAAUAAAACGUAGGUCUAAUAUUAUUAUUAUUUUAUUUAAAAAAAAAUGUGUUAACCACAGCAAACAAUAUACAAACACUUACAAUCUAUUUAUCUUCAUUUAAUUGUACAACAUUCCAACAAAUUAUUAUGAUAACAGAACACAGUACCUAUUCCGACAACGCAUAGAUAGAAAUUUGAUAUAUACAUUACAUGGGAUGAAAAUAGAAUUAGGAACAAUUUCAAUUUAUUUACAAAGAGCGAUACAUUAACACCGAUAUAACUAAUAUUUUAAUCUAAAUGUUCAAAUUACACAUAAUCUUGUUACUGAUUGUAGAUUUGUUGUAAGACGAAAACUUGUGUUUAAUAUUGUAACUUCAACUUACAAAAUAUACAUUUGACGCCAUAGUUGAAAUUGUUGCAUUUUAUUUUAUUUAAAAAAAAAAAAAAAUGUCUAGUUGUGA